rnacentral:rRNA from 1 species
CAAUAGCGUAUAUUAACGUUGUUGCAGUUAAAAAGCUCGUAGUUGGAUUUCUGGUGGGAGCGAUCGGUCUGGCGCUUAGCGCGAGUACUUGCAUCGUCUCCGGCCAUCCUUGGGGAGAGUCUGUCUGGCAUUAGGUUGUCGGGCAGAGGAUCCUCAUCGUUUACUGUGAAAAAAUUAGAGUGUUCAAAGCAGGCUUAUGCCGUUGAAUAUAUUAGCAUGGAAUAAUAAGAUAGGACUUUGGUACUAUUUUGUUGGUUUGCGCACCAAAGUAAUGAUUAAUAGGGACAGUUGGGGGUAUUCGUAUUCCGUUGUCAGAGGUGAAAUUCUUGGAUUUACGGAAGACGAACUACUGCGAAAGCAUUUACCAAGGAUGUUUUCAUUA